rnacentral:lncRNA from 1 species
GUGCUGAAGGUGAAAAUGCAACAUGCACAGUAGAAUGCCCAUCACUUUUGGAACCCUCCCACACUGUGUCGAUAAUGUAAAGAAAAGAUGAAGGCUGAGGAAAAAUCUCGAUCUCUCUGUGGCACGUGUCAACAAAUGAAGCAAGGGCAAAAUGUACGUGUCAACAAAUGAAGUAAGGGCAAAAUGACCAAAAGACCAACAAAUGUGUCACGUGUCAAACUCCUAGGUAUUAUUGACUUACAUUAAUGUCACCAGAAAUGGACAAGAUUCUAUUGAAUAUGCUAUCACAAAUAGAAGCUGCAGCCUUACAACUUUGGGCACCUUGGGCUUAUGAAUAAUCAAAUAACAAACAAUACCACAAAAAAAUGAAAACUAUUAAUAAUAAUAAUAAUAAUAAUCAUAAUAAUAAUAAUAAUAAUAAUCUCACAUGAGUCGUAGGAUUUUUUAUUUAAAAAAGGAAGUACUUUUGGGGUGAAUAAAUGGAUAAAAGUAGAAAAUAAUGUAUUAUAUUUUAUCAUUGUUAUUAUUAUUAUUAUUAUUAUAUAGAAUCUAGUUGAAGGCCCUUUUAUGUUGUGAUGAUAGGACCCAAAAAAUUUACGUCAAUAAUUCAAAGGAAAUUGCAAGAACAUCAGGAAAGAAGAGGGC